AGAGUUUGAUCAUGGCUCAGAGUGAACGCUGGCGGUAGGCCUAACACAUGCAAGUCGAACGGCAGCACAGUAAGAGCUUGCUCUUAUGGGUGGCGAGUGGCGGACGGGUGAGGAAUACAUCGGAAUCUACCUUUUCGUGGGGGAUAACGUAGGGAAACUUACGCUAAUACCGCAUACGACCUUCGGGUGAAAGCAGGGGACCUUCGGGCCUUGCGCGGAUAGAUGAGCCGAUGUCGGAUUAGCUAGUUGGCGGGGUAAAGGCCCACCAAGGCGACGAUCCGUAGCUGGUCUGAGAGGAUGAUCAGCCACACUGGAACUGAGACACGGUCCAGACUCCUACGGGAGGCAGC
rnacentral:rRNA from 1 species